rnacentral:rRNA from 1 species
UACGUAGGAGGCGAGCGUUGUCCGGAUUUACUGGGCGUAAAGCGCGCGCAGGCGGCACACUAAGUACGAUGUGAAAUCUCCCUGCUCAACGGGGAGGGUGCAUAGUAAACUGGUGAGCUAGAGGACGGUAGAGGGGGAUGGAAUUCCGCGUGUAGCAGUGAAAUGCGUAGAUAUGCGGAGGAACACCGAUGGCGAAGGCAAUCCCCUGGACCUGUACUGACGCUCAUGCACGAAAGCGUGGGGAGCAAACAGG